rnacentral:misc_RNA from 1 species
UUAACUAUUAUAUAGUACUCAGACAGCAAAGAUUCAAGGGUUUCGAUCCUCUGGCAGACGGUGAAGUCUGCCAAAGCAACAAAGUUUGAUAUACAAAAGGGUGAGAAUAGGGCUGUUAAGCCUAAAUUCUUUAAUGAUCCUUCCGCAGGUUCACCUACGGAAA